rnacentral:lncRNA from 1 species
CACGGUGCCCACCCACGGCAUGCAGAAGUUCCUGGGCUAGGGAUCAAACCUGUGCCAUAGCAGGGACCCGUGCCACAGCAGUGACGACGCCAGAUCCUUAGCUGCUAGGGCACCAGGGAACUCUUGUAUUCCCCUACUUUCUUCCUUGCAUCAAGAUGCUAGGAGAACUGAGUAACUAAGAUGUUUCUCUAUGUACAUGAAAUCAGAAAGAAAAGUAAAAAGGUAGGUGCGUGUGUGCGUGAGGGAGAGAGAGAGAACCCCCUUUAAAAACUUUUAUCACAUGCAGUUCCGGUCGUGGCUCCGUGGUAAUGAACCUGACGGGCAUCCAUGAGGACUCUGGUUCCAUCCCUGACCUUGCUCACUGGGUUAAAAAUCUGGCAUUGCCGUGAGCUGUGGUGUAGGUCACAGACAUGGCUCGGAUCUGGCAUUGCUGUGGCUGUGGUGUAGGCUGGCAGCUACAGCUCUGAUUUGACCCCUAGCCUGCGAACCUCCAUAUGCUGAGGGUGCAUCUCUAAAAAGACAAAACAAAACAAAAAAAAAAACCACCCAAACAAACAAACAAACAAACAAAAAAACACAAACUUUGUGCCAGAGAGAUUUUCAAACAUCCCGUAAAAGUGGAGUAAAUCGUAUUUAAAAAAAUUACUACAUGUCCAGCAUUCAUUUCUAACAUUUCCUAAACUUUUUCCAUCCCUCUACUUUUAAAAAAAAGUUAGGAUUUUUGGAGUCCCUCUGUGGUGUAGUGAGUUAAGAAUCCGACUGCAGUGGCUCAGGUGGCUGUGGAGGUGUGGGUUCGAUCCCCAGCCCAGUGCAGUGGGUUAAAGGACCCAGCAUUGCCGCAGCUGCGGCUCAGAUUCAGUCCCUGGCCCAGGAACUUCAAUAUGCUGUGGGUGUGGCCAUAAAACUGAAAACAAAACAAAAACUCACCCUAGGAGUUCCCAUCGUGGCGCAGUGGUUAGCGAAUCUGACUAGGAACCAUGAGGUUGGGGGUUCGAUCCCUGGCCUUGCUCAGUGAGUUAAGGAUCCGGCAUUGCCGUGAGCUAUGGUCUCCUACCCCCGCUUACCAGCAGGUGCACUAGUCACGGGGCACCUGGGGCACCUCCACGCACCAGCAGGUGCACAUGUCCUUACAGAGAGGAGGAGCCUGUAGGUCUGGCUGACUCCAUCACCUACCCAGGAUCUUACUUCAGCUAACCACAAGGGGCCUCUGUUGGUAAGUCUCCCAGAGUUACCAACAAUGGGGGCAAGGCCUUCCUGAUUGGUUUGUUGACUCACACACUCUCAAGGAGCUUCUGUUAUUGCCCAUAAGCUGGAAAUCGGUAACAUCUAAUGCAGGAGUCUCCUCGAUGCCACACCUGGGGCUUCCUGCCGGGGAGAAGCAGCAACCAUCUCACCUUUACAGGGAGCUGCACUGCGGAGAGUGAACUCGGCAGCACCUGCAAAG